AGAAACUGAAGUAUCUUUUCCAAGUCAUGUUACUCUUUUAGAAGAACUCGAUGACCCUGCAGUUCUAGUUGAUGGUGAAUUUGAGGAGGUGAAUCCAUCAAUAAUGGUCGAUGAUGGUGAAGAUGGUCAAGAAGAUGGAAAUGAUGGGUCAGAAGAAGAAGAUGAAUAUAGUGAUGACAGUGAUGAUGAUAAUGCUACUGAAGAUGAAUUGCAACAUGAAGACAAUGAGUUUGCAUCCUCUGAUGAUGAUUAGUCAUACUAUUAAUACUUUUCUUACUACUUAGAGAAUAAUAUUGUAUUUAUGAAUAUUUUGCUUACUAUGUAUUGUAUUGUUAUUUUCAUAUUUUUCUUCUUGUAUGAGUUUUGUGAAACUAGAAUUUAUGCUUUUAAUAUUGGCAUUCAAAUAUGUUCAUUUAUUCUUAUCUAACUUUCAAAUAUAUUUUGCAUUCUCAUUUUUGUUGUUUAUAUGUCUAUGUUUUUAACUUUUUUAUUUGAAUACAUGUAGGGUUCUAAAUUUGGCAUCAUGAGAAACAUGAAGGAACAAGGUAAAGGUAAAGGUAAAGAUAGAGGUAAAAGGCAUUCUUCAUUGCAUCAUGCAAUGCUGCAAAGGUCUAUAAGGACAUCAGCUGCAUUGGCUCCCAUUAUUCAAUCAUCUAAUGAGGCACCUACUUCAACUCCUGAGGUGCAGAUAAAUUUGCCUACUAUUUCUGAUCAUAGCCCUACCCCUUCUAACCCUGUUUGUGGUGGACUUCUGAUGAGUGAAAAUGAUGGAUCUACUAAAUCAAGUAGUAUAGGGCCUAGCGUGGGACUACUCUACCCUCUAAAUCCAAAUGACAGAGUGCAUUUGACACCAAUAAAUUGUUUUUGUUGAGAAGGGGGUCACAACAACAGUUACUUGCAAUCCAAAUUAGGUAAAGCAAAGGCAAACCGCUUAACAGAGAAAGAAGGAAGUAUUACAAAGCACACCGGUGGUUCACGACCUUUUGCUGUUCAUGGCUAAGAAGCUAGGUAGGAGGUUGGAUAUUCAGAAUUUUUCAGGCUCACACAAGCG